GAUGAACGCUAGCUACAGGCUUAACACAUGCAAGUCGAGGGGCAGCAUGGUCUUAGCUUGCUAAGGCCGAUGGCGACCGGCGCACGGGUGAGUAACACGUAUCCAACCUGCCGUCUACUCUUGGACAGCCUUCUGAAAGGAAGAUUAAUACAAGAUGGCAUCAUGAGUCCACAUGUUCACAUGAUUAAAGGUAUUCCGGUAGACGAUGGGGAUGCGUUCCAUUAGAUAGUAGGCGGGGUAACGGCCCACCUAGUCUUCGAUGGAUAGGGGUUCUGAGAGGAAGGUCCCCCACAUUGGAACUGAGACACGGUCCAAACUCCUACGGGAGGCAGCAGUGAGGAAUAUUGGUCAAUGGGCGAGAGCCUGAACCAGCCAAGUAGCGUGAAGGAUGACUGCCCUAUGGGUUGUAAACUUCUUUUAUAAAGGAAUAAAGUCGGGUAUGGAUACCCGUUUGCAUGUACUUUAUGAAUAAGGAUCGGCUAACUCCGUGCCAGCAGCCGCGGUAAUACGGAGGAUCCGAGCGUUAUCCGGAUUUAUUGGGUUUAAAGGGAGCGUAGAUGGAUGUUUAAGUCAGUUGUGAAAGUUUGCGGCCCAACCGUAAAAUUGCAGUUGAUACUGGAUAUCUUGAGUGCAGUUGAGGCAGGCGGAAUUCGUGGUGUAGCGGUGAAAUGCUUAGAUAUCACGAAGAACUCCGAUUGCGAAGGCAGCCUGCUAAGCUGCAACUGACAUUGAGGCUCGAAAGUGUGGGUAUCAAACAGGAUUAGAUACCCUGGUAGUCCACACGGUAAACGAUGAAUACUCGCUGUUUGCGAUAUACAGCAAGCGGCCAAGCGAAAGCGUUAAGUAUUCCACCUGGGGAGUACGCCGGCAACGGUGAAACUCAAAGGAAUUGACGGGGGCCCGCACAAGCGGAGGAACAUGUGGUUUAAUUCGAUGAUACGCGAGGAACCUUACCCGGGCUUAAAUUGCAGAUGAAUUACGGUGAAAGCCGUAAGCCGCAAGGCAUCUGUGAAGGUGCUGCAUGGUUGUCGUCAGCUCGUGCCGUGAGGUGUCGGCUUAAGUGCCAUAACGAGCGCAACCCUUGUUGUCAGUUACUAACAGGUUCCGCUGAGGACUCUGACAAGACUGCCAUCGUAAGAUGUGAGGAAGGUGGGGAUGACGUCAAAUCAGCACGGCCCUUACGUCCGGGGCUACACACGUGUUACAAUGGGGGGUACAGAGGGCCGCUACCACGCGAGUGGAUGCCAAUCCCAAAAACCUCUCUCAGUUCGGACUGGAGUCUGCAACCCGACUCCACGAAGCUGGAUUCGCUAGUAAUCGCGCAUCAGCCACGGCGCGGUGAAUACGUUCCCGGGCCU
rnacentral:rRNA from 1 species